GACGAACGCUGGCGGCGUGCUUAACACAUGCAAGUCGAACGGAAAGGCCCUGCUUUUGUGUGGUGCUCGAGUGGCGAACGGGUGAGUAACACGUGAGUAACCUGCCCUUGACUUUGGGAUAACUUCAGGAAACUGGGGCUAAUACCGGAUAGGAGCUCCUGCUGCAUGGUGGGGGUUGGAAAGUUUCGGCGGUUGGGGAUGGACUCGCGGCGUAUCAGCUUGGUGGUGGGGUAGUGGCUUACCAAGGCUUUGACGGGUAGCCGGCCUGAGGGGGUGACCGGCCACAUUGGGACUGAGAUACGGCCCAGACUCCUACGGGAGGCAGCAGUGGGGAAUAUUGCACAAUGGGCGGAAGCCUGAUGCAGCAACGCCGCGUGCGGGAUGACGGCCUUCGGGUUGUAAACCGCUUUCGCCUGUGACGAAGCGUGAGUGACGGUAAUGGGUAAAGAAGCACCGGCUAACUACGUG
rnacentral:rRNA from 1 species